CAGUCGCCGCGGUAAUACAGAGGUCCCGAGCGUUGUUCGGAUUCACUUGGCGUAAAGGGUGUGUAGGAGGUUGGAUAGGUCAGGUGUGAAAUCCCGCAGCUCAACUGCGGAACUGCAUUCGAUACUGUUCAACUAGAGGAUCGGAGGGGGAAGCGGAAUUCUUGGUGUAGCGGUGAAAUGCGUAGAUAUCAAGAGGAACACCGGUGGCGAAGGCGGCUUCCUGGAAGAUACCUGACUCUGAAACACGAAAGCCAGGGGAGCGAAUGGGAUUAGAUACCCCCGUAGUCCCUGUCUCUUAUAC
rnacentral:rRNA from 1 species